UCCGGUUUAUCACCGAUAUGAGCCGGUGUUUCCUCGGGGGAUUGCUCCCCCGGGGGCCAAUGUCACUUAGCCAUGCAGCACCUGUGCAGGGCCCCGAAGGACACGGGCUUUCACCCGCUUUACCCUGCAUGUCAAGCCCAGGUAAGGUUCUUCGCGUUGCAUCGAAUUAAGCCACAUGCUCCGCCGCUUGUGCGGGUCCCCGUCAAUUCCUUUGAGUUUUAGCCUUGCGGCCGUACUCCCCAGGCGGGGCGCUUAAUGCGUUAGCUACGGCACGGAUCCCGUGGAAGGAAACCCACACCUAGCGCCCACCGUUUACGGCGUGGACUAC
rnacentral:misc_RNA from 1 species